GAUUCUCCCAUAGCUCAGUCGGUAGAGCGACGGACUGUUAAUCCGCAGGUCCCUGGUUCGAGCCCAG
rnacentral:tRNA from 31 species